ensembl:snoRNA
GUCGAGGUCUGUCCCAACAGGCUUUUUCUGUGGAUCUACAUUGUUGGAAACGCCUCACAGAAUAACUAUGUGGUUUCCUUUACUCACAGAACUGCAUGUUAGAUCUGUGGGAAAGAACUACAAGACAGAG